rnacentral:ncRNA from 1 species
AUUGGUAUCGCAACAGUAAUUGAAGUUAGUACGAGAGGAACCCUUCAUUCAGAUAAUUGGUAUUUGCGGCUGGUUGAAAGGCCAAUGCCGCGAAGCUACCAUCUGCUGGAUAAUGGCUGAACGCCUCUAAGUCAGAAUCCAUGCUGGAAGCGAUACUACUGUGCUUUGAUUGUACUAGUUGUGUACAAAUAAAGCUUCGGCUUGAAAACCUUACUUGCGGGAUAGGCUUUGCAGCGGAAAUGCUGUGAUUCACUACCCUGUGAUGAUAAUGCAAAUGAUCAAAGUGAUAAAUCGCAUGCAGACGACAUGAAAUGGACGGGGUAUUGUAAGUACUAGAGUAGCCUUUGUUGCUACGAUGUACUGAGAUUAAGCCCUUGUCACUGAAUUU